rnacentral:rRNA from 1 species
GACGAACGCUGGCGGCGUGCUUAACACAUGCAAGUCGAACGGAAAGGCCCCUUUGGGGGUACUCGAGUGGCGCACGGGUGAGUAACACGUGAGUAACCUGCCCUUGACUUCGGGAUAACUUCAGGAAACUGGGGCUAAUACCGGAUAGGAAUCCUUGCUGCCUGGUGGGGGUUGGAAAGCUUCGGCGGUUUUGGAUGGACUCGCGGCUUAUCAGCUUGUUGGUGGGGUAGUGGCUUACCAAGGCUUUGACGGGUAGCCGGCCUGAGAGGGCGACCGGCCACAUUGGGACUGAGAUACGGCCCAGACGCCUACGGGAGGCAGCAGGGGGGAAUAUUGCACAAUGGGCGGAAGCCUGAUGCAGCAACGCCGCGGGCGGGAUGACGGCCUUCGGGUUGUAAACCGCGUUCAGCAGGGGCGAAGCUUGUGGUGACGGUACCUGCAGAAGAAGCACCGGCUAACUACGUG